AACCUCCGCAAUGUAAGAAAUCGCGACGGGGGGAUCCCAAGUGCCAUUCUUAACGGGAUGGCUUUUCAUUAGUGUAAAGAGCUUUUGGAAUAAGAGCUGGGCAAGACCGGUGCCAGCCGCCGCGGUAACACCGGCAGCUCUAGUGGUAACAAUUUUUAUUGGGCCUAAAGCGUCCGUAGCCGGUUUAAUAAGUCUCUGGUGAAAUCCUGCAGCUUAACUGUGGGAAUUGCUGGAGAUACUAUUAGACUUGAGACCGGGAGAGGUUAGAGGUACUCCCAGGGUAGAGGUGAAAUUCUGUAAUCCUGGGAGGACCGCCUGUUGCGAAGGCGUCUAACUGGAACGGUUCUGACGGUGAGGGACGAAAGUUAGGGGCGCGAACCGGAUUAGAUACCCGGGUAGUCCUAACUGUAACGAUGCGGACUUGGUGUUGGGGUGGCUUUGAGCUGCUUCAGUGCCGAAGGGAAGCUGUUAGUCCGUCCGCCUGGGAAGUACGGUCGCAAGACUGAAACUUAAAGGAAUU
rnacentral:rRNA from 1 species